rnacentral:rRNA from 1 species
GAUAAACGCUGGCGGCGCACAUAAGACAUGCAAGUCGAACGGAAGUCGUUGUAAUGAAAUAGAAACGGACAGAGAACUUGUUCGAAGAAAGUGGAAGUAGACUUACAACAAUGGCUUUAGUGGCGGACUGGUGAGUAACGCGUAAGGAACCUGCCUUCUAGAGGGGAAUAACAAUGAGAAAUCAUUGCUAAUACCGCAUAUGCCGAGAGAAUCACAUGGUACAAUCGGGAAAAGAGUAAUCUGCUAGAAGAUGGCCUUGCGUCUGAUUAGAUAGUUGGUGGGGUAACGGCCUACCAAGUCGACGAUCAGUAGCCGGACUGAGAGGUUGAACGGCCACAUUGGGACUGAGAUACGGCCCAGACUCCUACGGGAGGCAGCAGUCGGGAAUAUUGCACAAUGGGGGAAACCCUGAUGCAGCAACGCCGCGUGAGUGAUGACGGUCUUCGGAUUGUAAAGCUCUGUCUUUAGGGACGAUAAUGACGGUACCUAAGGAGGAAG